AAAGUACUUUCAGCGGGGAGGAAGGGAGUAAAGUUAAUACCUUUGCUCAUUGACGUUACCCGCAGAAGAAGCACCGGCUAACUCCGUGCCAGCAGCCGCGGUAAUACGGAGGGUGCAAGCGUUAAUCGGAAUUACUGGGCGUAAAGCGCACGCAGGCGGUUUGUUAAGUCAGAUGUGAAAUCCCCGGGCUCAACCUGGGAACUGCAUCUGAUACUGGCAAGCUUGAGUCUCGUAGAGGGGGGUAGAAUUCCAGGUGUAGCGGUGAAAUGCGUAGAGAUCUGGAGGAAUACCGGUGGCGAAGGCGGCCCCCUGGACGAAGA
rnacentral:rRNA from 1 species